GCCCUAAAAGCAAAAGAAAAGGCUCGAUGCAGUUGUAGGGAAAGAAACCCUAUCACUUCCCAUCCAUUGAUCUCAAAUCCUUCCCUUAGUUUCGCUUGCAAUCUUUCGAUCUUUGCCCUGCGAUCGACGAACUGUUGCGUCAAUCGCAACUUUCGGUUCUUUCUUCCUUGCUUGAUAUAAUUGUUUCGGGAAGUCGUAGAUGAAUCCUCGAAGUAGGUAUCCUCCGCCCGGCAUGGGCAACGGCCGAGGGGGCGGUGCGAGUACGAACCCUAAUUUCUAUGCAAGGAGCGCUCACCAGCACCAGCAGUAUGCUCAGCAGAGUCCGGCGCAUGGUCAGCCAAGCCAGCAGUUCCAGCAGCAACAGCAGUGGUCGAGACGGAAUCAGCUUGGAGGUGACUUUGGUGCUGGCCAAAUAGUGAAAUCGGUUCAAUCUGAGGCCACUAAUACGAGUUUGCAAGAUUGGAAGGCACAAUUGAAAAUGGCACCUCCAGACACACGCUACAAGACAGAGGAUGUGACUGCAACCAAGGGGAAUGAAUUCGAGGACUAUUUUCUGAAGCGAGAACUGCUUAUGGGAAUAUAUGAGAAAGGUUUCGAAAGGCCUUCACCAAUUCAGGAAGAAAGCAUUCCAAUUGCACUCACUGGCAGUGACAUUCUUGCCAGAGCUAAAAAUGGGACUGGAAAGACUGCUGCAUUUUGUAUUCCUGCACUUGAGAAAAUUGACCAGGAUCAUAAUGUCAUUCAAGUUGUCAUAUUGGUUCCUACAAGAGAGUUAGCUCUUCAGACAUCACAAGUUUGUAAGGAACUUGGGAAACAUUUGAAUAUUCAAGUCAUGGUUACUACUGGAGGAACCAGCUUGAAGGAUGACAUUAUGCGUUUAUAUCAACCUGUUCACUUGCUUGUUGGAACACCUGGUCGAAUUCUUGAUCUUGCACGAAAAGGUGUCUGUGUUUUGAAGGAUUGUUCAAUGCUUAUUAUGGAUGAGGCGGAUAAACUUCUCUCUCCUGAGUUCCAGCCGUCUAUAGAGCAUCUUAUUCAGUUUCUUCCUGCCAAUAGGCAGAUUUUAAUGUUUUCCGCAACAUUCCCUGUUACCAUAAAACAUUUUAAAGACAGAUAUCUUCCAAAACCAUAUAUUAUCAAUCUAAUGGAUGAACUGACACUGAAGGGAAUAACACAAUUCUAUGCUUUUGUAGAGGAAAGGCAGAAGGUUCAAUGCCUUAAUACCCUUUUCUCAAAGCUGCAAAUUAACCAAUCUAUUAUCUUUUGCAAUUCUGUUAACCGGGUGGAGCUAUUAGCAAAGAAGAUCACUGAGCUUGGUUAUUCAUGCUUUUACAUUCAUGCUAAGAUGUUGCAAGAUCACAGGAACCGCGUCUUUCAUGACUUUCGCAAUGGUGCAUGCAGGAAUCUUGUCUGUACAGAUCUGUUUACAAGGGGAAUCGAUAUUCAAGCUGUUAAUGUUGUGAUCAAUUUUGAUUUUCCAAAGAACUCUGAGACGUAUCUGCACAGGGUUGGUCGUUCAGGCAGAUAUGGUCACCUUGGUCUAGCAGUCAAUCUUAUCACCUAUGAGGAUCGCUUUAACUUGUAUAGGAUUGAGCAAGAACUCGGAACAGAAAUAAAGCAGAUUCCUCCGCAGAUUGAUCAGGCUAUAUACUGCAGGUGAUCUGCAACGACGACUAUUCUGAUAUUUUCAUGGCGAAUAACUAGAAGACUUCUUGUAAAUAUGGCGUGCCAAGGUUUGUUUUGUCACCUUGUCCGUGGUCUCCUAGUGGUGUCUGAUGGCACAUUGGAGAUGUCAUUAUCAGCUCUUAUUUUAGGCUAUAUGCUGAUACCCAUUGGUGACUUCGUAACAUGAUUGCUGUUGUCUUUGUAUGUUUGUCAUAUCAGUAUUGGAUUCUAAUGGUACUCAGGCUGAAGAAGGUUCUAAAUUGCUUGUACUAGUUUUCCUUUUUCAUGUUGAACGAGUACUGAUGCUUAUUAUCUACCAUAUGCAUUAAUCUAAAAUAGAAUUUAAAAUGAUUAAAGAUCAAUCCAUCUGGAUUUUAUGUCUAA